ACCCCAGGUCAGGCAGGAUCACCCGCUGAGUUUAAGCAGAUCAAUAAGUAGAGGAAAAGAAAUUUACUAGGAUUCCCCUAGUAACGGUGAAUGAGCUGGGAAGAGCCCAGCUUUAGAAUCGAGCACCGCCGGCAUCUGAAUUAUAGUCUAAAGAAGCAUCUUCAGCGGAAGACCAGGCCCAAGUCUCCUGGAAAGGGGCACCGAAGAGGGUGAGAGCCCCGUUAUGCCCAGACCCUAUCGUACCAUGAGGCACUGUCUGCGAGUCUGGUUGUUUGGGAAUACAGCCCCAAUCGGGAAGUAAAUUUCAUCCAAGGCUGAAUACGGGCAAGAGACCGAUAGCGAACAAGUACCACGAGGAAAAAAUUAAAAGGACUUUGAAAAGAGAGUCAAAGAGUGCUUGAAAUUAUCGAGAGGGAAGCCGAUGGGGGUCGAUGAUGCACUCUGAUCAUUUGUGAAACGGUAAGAGUCAAUCCGUCGAUCGGCUUGGGUUGUGGAUCGAUGCAGGUCGCGAUGGUGGCCCAAGCCCUGGCUUUCGAUGUGCCUGCAGAGAUAUCACCACUACGAUCAUGGAAUGCAGCACACAUUAUCUUGACGUGCCUCAGCACCACGUGCUUCUGGAGUCGGCCUAUCUUGAAACACAGACUAAGGAGUCUGACAUGUGUGCUAGUCAACGAGCCAAAAAACCCAUAAGGCACAAGGAACUGAUUGAUAGGAUCCCUCACAGGUGCACUACCGAUCGACCUUGAUAUUCUGAAAAGGGUUCAAGUGCGAGCAUGCCCGUCGGGACUCAAAAAAUGGUGAACUAUGCCUGAGCGGGGUGAAGCCAGAGAAAACUCUGGUGGAGGCCCGUAGCGAUACUGACGUGCAAAUCAUUCAUCUGACUUGGGUAUAGAGGCAAAAGACUAAUCAAACCAUGUAGUAGCUGGUUCUUUUGAAGUUUCCCUCAUGAUAACUGGAGCUCCUGGCAAGUUCUAUCUGGUAAAGUCAAUGAUUAGAGGCAUCAGGGGCACAAUGCCCUCGACCUAUUCUCAAACUUUAAAUAAGUAGGACAACACGGCUGCUUCGUUGAGCUACGCCAUGAAAUUGAGAGCUAUAAGUGGGCCAUUUUUGGUAAGCAGAACUGGUGAUGUGGGAUGAAUCAGAAGUCGGGUUACGGUGCCCAACUACGUGCUAACCCAGAACCCACAAAGGGUGUUGGUCGAUUAAGACAGUAAGAUGGUGGUCAUGGAAGUCAAAAUCUGCUAAGGAGUGUGUAACAACUCACUUGCUGAAGCAAUUAACCUAAAAAAUGGAUGGCGUUUAAGCGCGUGACCUAUACUCGAUCGUCGGGGCAAGGGCCAGGCCCCGAUGAGUAGGAGGGCACGAUGGUCACCACAAAACUUAGGGCACGAGCCUGGGCAGAGUGACCGUUGGUGCAGAUCUUGAUGGUAGUAUCAAAUAUUCAAAUGAGAACUUUAAAGGUCGAAGAAGGGAAAGGUUCCAUGUGAACGGCAUUUGCACAUGGGUUAGUCGAUCCUAAGAGAUGAGGGAAGCCCAUCCGACAGCGUGUCUUGUGUGAGCUUCAAAAAAAAAUCGGGUUAAAAUUCUUGAACCAGGAUACGGUGACUGGCGGUAACAUUAGAGAGUCCAGAGACUUCGGUGGGAGCCUUGAGAAGAGUUAUCUUUUCUGUUUAACGGCCCGCCCACCAUGGAAAUGGCUCAAUCGGAGGUAGGGUCCAACGACCGAAAGAGCACCGCACGUCGCGUGGUGUCAGAUGCACCCCCGGCAGCCUUGAAGAUCCAGAGGACUGAGUGUCGUCCGCACCCGGUCAUACUCAUAACCGCAUCAAGUCUCCAAGGUGAACAGCCUCUGGUCGAUGGAACAAUGUAGGCAAGGGAAGUCAACAAAAUGGAUCCGUAACCUCAAGAAAAAGAUUGGCUCUGAGGGCUAGGCAUGGGGGUCCCAAUCCCGAACCUAUCGACUGUUGAUGCACUGCUCUAGCUGCUCCCACGAUGAGAGUGGGUCACCGUAUGCCGAUCGAGGGAUAGACUGGGAACGGUUCCCUCGAGGGUGCCAGUCUUAAACCCAUUGGUUGCUGGUGCAUUGCUUGAGCUGCUCUUGCGAUGAGAGUGGGUUGUUGCAUGCCGAUCGAGGGAAGGACUAGGAAUAGCUCCCUCAGGGGCCUUCCUCGGGUGACAAACAGCCGACUCAAAACUAGUACAGACAAAGGGAAUCUAACUGUUUAAUUAAAAUAAAGCAUUACGAUGGUCCCUACGGAUGCUCACGCAAUGUGAUUUCUACCCAGUGCUCUGAAUGUCAAAGUGAAAAAAUUCAACCAAGCACGGGUAAACAGUAGGAGUAACUAUGACUCUCAUAAGGUAGCCAAAUGUCUCAUCAUCUAAUUAGUGAUGCGCAUGAAUGGAUUAACGAGAUUCCCACUGUCCCUGUCUACUAUCCAGUGAAACCACAGCUAAAGGAACAGGCUUGGCAGAAUCAACGGGGAAAAAAUACCCUGUUAAGCUUGACUCUAGUCCCACUUUAUGAAAUGACUUGAGAGGUGUAGGAUAAGUGGAAGCCCUCGGGUGAAAUUGAAAUACCACUACUUUUAACGUUAUUUUACUUAUUUCGUGAAUCAGAGGCGAGGCAUGACCCUUUCUUUUAGACCCAAGGUCGACCUCGAUCGAUCGAUCUAGGUGGAAGACAUUGUCAAGUGGGGAGUUUGGCUAGGGUAGCACAUCUAUUAAAAGAUAAUGUAGUGUCCUAAGAUGGGUUCAAUGAGAACAGAAAUCUCGUGUGGAAUAAAAGGGUAAAAGCUUGUUUGAUUUUGAUUUCCAAUACGAAUAUGAAUCGUGAAAAGUGUGGCCUAUCGAUCCUUUAAACCUUUGAGAUUUGAAGUUAGAGCUGUCAAAAAAGUUACCGUAGGGAUAACUGGCUUGUGGCAGCCAAGCGUUCAUAGCGACGUUGCUUUUUGAUCCUUCGAUGUCGACUCUUCCUAUCAUUGUGAAGUAGAAUUCACUAAGUGUUGGAUUGUUCACCCACCAAUAGAGAACGUGAACUGGGUUUAGACCAUCGUGAGACAGGUUAGUUUUACCCUACUAAUGGCGGCAUCAUGAUUGUAAUUCAACCUAGUAUGAGAGGAACCAUUGAUUCACACAAUUGGUCAUCGCACUUGGUUGAAAAGCCAGUGGCCCGAAGCAACCGUGCAUUGGAUUAUGAUUGAACACCUCUAAGUUGAAAUCAGGCUAGAAGUGACGCGCACGGCCACCGCCCAAUUGUUGACCCGUAGUAGGGGCCCAUAGCCCCCAAGGGCACGUGUCCUAAGUGUAGCCCUCGCGACAGACGAGCUGCGCGGGCAUCCUUGGAGCUCAAUUCCCACUAAGCAGCAGGUAGAAUCUUUUAUAGAUGACUUAAAUAUACGACGGGGUAUUGUACGUAGUAGAGUGGCCUUACUGCCACGAUCCACUGAGAUUUAGCC
rnacentral:rRNA from 1 species